rnacentral:rRNA from 1 species
GACGAACGCUGGCGGCGUGCUUAACACAUGCAAGUCGAACGGAAAGGCCCUGUUUGCAGGGUACUCGAGUGGCGAACGGGUGAGUAACACGUGGGUGAUCUGCCCUGCACUUCGGGAUAAGCCUGGGAAACUGGGUCUAAUACCGGAUAGGAGCCAUUUUUAGUGUGAUGGUUGGAAAGUUUUUUCGGUGUAGGAUGAGCUCGCGGCCUAUCAGCUUGUUGGUGGGGUAAUGGCCUACCAAGGCGGCGACGGGUAGCCGGCCUGAGAGGGUGGACGGCCACAGUGGGACUGAGAUACGGCCCAGACUCCUACGGGAGGCAGCAGUGGGGAAUAUUGCACAAUGGGCGCAAGCCUGAUGCAGCGACGCCGCGUGGGGGAGGACGGCCUUCGGGUUGUAAACUCCUUUCGCUAGGGACGAAGCUUUUUGUGACGGUACCUAGAUAAGAAGCACCGGCUAACUACGUG